rnacentral:tRNA from 1 species
GGACACAUAGCUCAGUGGCAAAGCACUUGCCUAGCAAGUACAACAACCUGGGUUCCAUUCCCAGUUCCA